AGUUUUGAUUUUUGAAAUCAUAAAGAAAUAUGCAGAACUCAGAAAAAUUGUUAAUAAAACUCAUGGGUUUUUGAAAUUAAAAUUUUAUUGCCACACAAUCUCCAUUUAUUUUAAGCGAGAUUGGCAUGGCAUAUUAAAUUGCGAAGGAUAUGGAUAUUUUCAGUUCUCUCCCCCGCAAAUUCCCCAUGAGCAAUAGCAGACAAAUACAAUCACAAUUUACAGCAACAAAACAAACGGUGAUAUCGGAUAGUUAGUUGGGGAUGUGUUUGGGAGAAAGAACACUUGGUUUGCGUUGCUUUCAAAAAGUGAAAAUAGAAAAAGGGGGAGGUCAAUAAUAAUGUUACGUCAAGGAGGAAAAUCAAAACAGAAAAACUAAGUUUUCUUAUUGAUAGCAGAAUUAACAAAAAGUUAUACUAAACGCAUAGCGCAUUAAAUGACUUUUUUGAUUUUCGCUACAACUUAAUGAAAUCGGAAAUAUUUAAACGUGUGUUGUAAGAACAUUCUAUAGGCAUAAGUGUAGGAAGUGAUGAUUUGUGGGUCCCUAUAAAUACACAUAGCGUAAAUUAUUAACCAAGACGACGACGUAGUGGUGUGCGUUUUGCUCUACAACCCCCUUGUGGCAUUGUGUUCGUUGAUAAAAUAUCAAAAAUAAAUACUAUUUACAUUAGAAAACGAAAUCUUCGACGGUUUAUAUCUUUCAAUGGUGAAUAAAUAGAAAUCAAAGCCCUAGUAGCUCUUUCUUCUCCCUACCAAUGGAAUGGUGAUAAUUAGCGGAAACAGCAUAAUUCUCACAAAUCAAAGCAAUACGCAUGUGACUUUGACCACUUAAAAAACAAAACAAAUACCAUAGUAUAAAACCAAGCCAAACGUUCAUCUCCUACACUAUGUUGAGUAAUGGAGGCAAUUAGUAUUUUCCUGCCCGCUUGACGCUGCUGUAAAUAAUUAAAAGCCAACAAGUAUUCAUUAUUAUCAGCGUGCAACUAUACUUAUGUGGAUUUAUCAACGCAGUCGUCUUCAAGAGUACUAACACGCAUCUAUUUACGAGACCCAUUCAAGUCAAACACAAAGAUGGACGAGGUAUUCUCUUUGCAUACGGAAAAAUUCGAUUUGUAUGAUGUGCUUCUCCUGGCCGGCAUACUCUCAGUUAUUAUUUUACUUUGUAUUUAAGGAAGCAUUGAGUUCUGCACAUGAGGCAUAAGAGUUUGCCAAAUAUUUCAACGUUAUUCUUGUUAUAAACAAUAAUCAGCGAGAGUAUUGUGAAAUACAGCAGUAGCAAGAAGAGAAAAGUCCACAUAUGAUUGGUGUCAAACAGUUCUUGAUGGUGUUGCCAUAUCGAGAGAAAAGUAGACAAUAAAUAAUGUAGUAUUAAAUUAUAUUAAA
rnacentral:sRNA from 1 species